rnacentral:lncRNA from 1 species
AUGCUUAUCCCUUAUUUAUACAUGGGAGACAAUUGUUACAGAAUCUAAACCAGGGUGUGCGGUGGCUACGAUAGGAAUAUGGGGACUCAUCGGUCGCAGUGGUUGUUGUGGUACUAGCGCGCGUGCGACGGGAUAGUUGAACCAGGAAGAGAUAUGGAUCUAAGUUACAAAAGUUUUCUUCAUGAAUGGAAAAUAGACACAAAAGUAAAAGGCAUUCUGGUUGAUGGGACGUUGAUCAUUUCCUUUUAGUAAGGUAUCAAGAACUAAACCAUCUGGUCCUAAUUUGGUUGAGUAAUGGCACUUAAGAUAGUGACUGCAUGUCAUCAUGGUGUGGUUUUCAUAUGGGAGAUAGGUGUUAGACUUAUGUUGAGCCAAGAGAAUCAUUGGAUGAUAUUGGUAGCUAAAUCGUAUUAGCUAACUUCAAGUGAUACCGAAGAUCAUCAGAGUCAGGUUAUAACAAUCGAGGAGGAGGAACUGAAACCGAACAAGAAGAAACUAAGACAACACAAAGAGCAAUAUUAGCAAUAGUUGCGUUGAUGACCUGACAUAGGAUGUUAGUUAAAACUUAUUCCCUACAUAUUAUUAGUUGAUUUAUCUAAUAUUGUUUUAUAUUUUAGAAUUGAUCAACCAAGUUAAUUAAUUUGUAUGUUUAAUU